UACAGAGGGGGGCAAGCGUUGUUCGGAAUUACUGGGCGUAAAGGGCGCGUAGGCGGCCUUCUAAGUCGAACGUGAAAUCCCCGGGCUCAACCCGGGAACUGCGUCCGAUACUGGAAGGCUUGAAUCCGGGAGAGGGAUGCCGGAAUUCCAGGUGUAGCGGUGAAAUGCGUAGAUAUCGAGAGGAACACCCGCGGCGAAGGCGGGUUGCUGGGCUGAUACUGACGCUGAGGCGCGAAAGCCAGGGGAGCGAACGGG
rnacentral:rRNA from 1 species